CAGAAGGUAUAAGUUCCAUUCUGUGACGUGCAACCGACGAGCCGACGAGACGAGCCGAGCCGACGAGUUCCCUCGAAGACAACAAGGACGAUUGGUGCCAUCCUGACGAGCAUUCCAGUUGAUGCCCAUGUCAGGGAUUUAGACGGGCGAUGCAAGGACGACUAAAGUGGCUGAUUUGUGCAGCUUUAGCAGCUACAGUAGUGUUCAGUUUGAUGACUUACUUCGACCCGGUUUCCUUAUGGUUUCAUCACAAGGUUAAGGAGACCGAGAUCCAGCUUACACGCGCAAAAACAGUGGACAACGAACAUCAGCCAGCGACACAGAACAGUUCAAC